rnacentral:rRNA from 1 species
AUGUCCGCGACCGCCUGGACCCUCCCGUCGACGCAGGGUACAUCGGCUCGUGCCUCAGGCAGUGCCUCGUGGAGCCGGGAGCUCCGCGGCGAGCGCGCCCUGGCGGCGGCAGUCCGGGACGAGGUCCGUAAGAUGAGAGAGGUCCCCGUCGCCAGGUGGGAUUUCGUGACGCCGUUGUGGAAGGAGGGCUCUAUGCACCGGCUGAUGAACGUGUCAGGCUCGCCGCGCUUCACGGCGUAUGAGGACGCCGACUUCGGGUGGGGGAAGCCCACACGGACGGAGCCGAUCAGGAUGAACCACGACGGCCAGGUCGCGCUGAUGGGUGCGGGAGACGGCCAUGGCGGGGUGCAGAUGUCGGUGUCGCUGCUGCAGCCGGCGCAGAUGGACUUGUUCAAGUCUCACUUCCUCGACCUACUCGGCUAA